GAUGAACGCUAGCUACAGGCUUAACACAUGCAAGUCGAGGGGAAACGACAUCGAAAGCUUGCUUUUGAUGGGCGUCGACCGGCGCACGGGUGAGUAACGCGUAUCCAACCUGCCCAUCACUUGGGGAUAACCUUGCGAAAGUAAGACUAAUACCCAAUGAUAUCUCUAGAAGACAUCUGAAAGAGAUUAAAGAUUUAUCGGUGAUGGAUGGGGAUGCGUCUGAUUAGCUUGUUGGCGGGGUAACGGCCCACCAAGGCAACGAUCAGUAGGGGUUCUGAGAGGAAGGUCCCCCACAUUGGAACUGAGACACGGUCCAAACUCCUACGGGAGGCAGCAGUGAGGAAUAUUGAUCAAUGGGCGAGAGCCUGAACCAGCCAAGUAGCGUGCAGGAAGACGGCCCUAUGGGUUGUAAACUGCUUUUAUAAGGGAAUAAAGUGAGAGUCGUGACUCUUUUUGUAUGUACCUUAUGAAUAAGGACCGGCUAAUUCCGUG
rnacentral:rRNA from 1 species